UCCCUAUAUCACCCUGCAACUCACAACUGGCAACCCACUAAAGCUAAGCAGGUGUGAGCCUGGUCAGUACCUGGAUGGGAGACCUCCUGGGAAAAACUAAGGUUGCUGCUGGAA
rnacentral:rRNA from 1 species